AUCACCUCCUACUCCUCCUCCUCUUUGCCUCUCUCUGCUCUCUUCAGUUUCUUCUCCUGAUUUCGAUUCUGAUGAUGCUGCUGCUGCUGCUGCUGUUGCUGCCGGCGGCAUAUCUGUGACAAAACAUCAUUCAAUGUGUGCAAUGAUUGAUGAUGCAACUCAAAAGCAACUUGUACUCAAUUUUCACUGCCCCGCUGAGCCGGUGGAACGUGGGGCUUACACACACACACACAUACAGCGACAUAACUUACCGGGCAUGACAAAAUGUCACAAAUAUUCUACAAGCAAUUUGUUUAAAUAUCGCAUAAAAAAGAAACGAAAAGACAACCAGAACCUGAAGCUGAGGCUGGCGAUGGUGCUAAGGCAGCGGGGGGUGGGGGUGGAGAGAGAGCGCAUCACAAAAGUUGAAGUCGAAGUGUG
rnacentral:lncRNA from 1 species